rnacentral:rRNA from 1 species
ACGAACGCUGGCGGCAUGCCUAACACAUGCACGUCGAACGAGACCUUCGGGUCUAGUGGCGCACGGGUGCGUAACGCGUGGGAACCUGCCUUUAGGUUCGGAAUAACUCAGAGAAAUUUGAGCUAAUACCGGAUGAUGUCUUCGGACCAAAGAUUUAUCGCCUUUAGAUGGGCCCGCGUUGGAUUAGCUAGUUGGUGGGGUAAAGGCCUACCAAGGCGACGAUCCAUAGCUGGUCUGAGAGGAUGAUCAGCCACACUGGGACUGAGACACGGCCCAGACUCCUACGGGAGGCAGCAGUGGGGAAUAUUGGACAAUGGGCGAAAGCCUGAUCCAGCAAUGCCGCGUGAGUGAUGAAGGCCUUAGGGUUGUAAAGCUCUUUUACCCGAGAUGAUAAUGACAGUAUCGGGAGAAUAAGCUCCGGCUAACUCCGUG